rnacentral:rRNA from 1 species
UACGUAGGGUGCGAGCGUUGUCCGGAAUUACUGGGCGUAAAGAGCUCGUAGGCGGUUUGUCGCGUCUGCUGUGAAAACUCGGGGCUUAACCUCGAGCUGUCGGCGGAAACCAUCUGGCUAGAGUCCGGAAGAGGAGAAUGGAAUUCCCGGUGUAGCGGUGAAAUGCGCAGAUAUCGGGAAGAACACCCGUGGCGAAGGCGGUUCUCUGGGACGGUACUGACGCUGAGACGCGAAAGCGUGGGGAGCGAACAGG